rnacentral:tRNA from 1 species
GAAACAUCUAUUUUAAAGCUUCUAACUUUAAUAAUAAGCGAAAAUAUAAACGUUUAUGUUUCU